rnacentral:rRNA from 1 species
UGGCGGCGUGGUUAAGACAUGCAAGUCGAACGAGAUUACUUUUAGUAGCAAUACCGAGAGUAGUCUAGUGGCGAACGGGUGCGUAACACGUGGGCAAUUUGCCUUAAAGUGGGGGAUAGCUCGGCGAAAGCCGGAUUAAUACCGCAUGUGAUUACCGGAGACAUCUUCGGAACAUCAAAGUCGGGGCAACCUGACGCUUUUUGAGGAGCCCGCGGCCUAUCAGCUAGUUGGUGAGGUAAAGGCUCACCAAGGCUAUGACGGGUAGCUGGUCUGAGAGGACGACCAGUCACACUGGAACUGAGACACGGUCCAGACACCUACGGGUGGCAGCAGUCGAGAAUUUUUCUCAAUGGGGGAAACCCUGAAGGAGCGACGCCGCGUGGAGGAUGAAGGUCUUCGGGUUGUAAACUCCUGUCAUUUGGGAACAAUGCUUACGUAUUAACUGUACGUGAGUUGAUAGUACCAGAAGAGGAAGAGACGGCUAACUCUGUGCCAGCAGCCGCGGUAAUACAGAGGUCUCAAGCGUUGUUCGGAUUCAUUGGGCGUAAAGGGUGUGUAGGUGGCGCGCUAAGUCGGGUGUGAAAUUUCGGAGCUUAACUCCGAAACUGCAUUCGAUACUGGCGU